AGGAAAAAAAAAAUCGAUUGAUCGAAUUUUAAGUUAUAAUAAAGGUCAAGACUUUCAGAGAGUAACAAAACCAGCCUUCAUUAAUCCAUCAUCACUUUCUUUAGACCUCCAAAAUAACUCCUUUUUGCUAUGUUUCUUUCUGUCUUAGAAUUUGGUUCGUAAGUGAUCUCCUUUUCUUCUAUACUUUAUUGCAUCAUACUUGGAACAAUAUCAUUCAUCAUCGCUUCUUGCAUGCCCCACAAGUACAUCUCUCCAUUCCCUUUUCCAGUGACUGCACAUAUAUAAGAGAUAAUUUUAAAAAAUCAUAUUAAUUUCUCCAUAUGCAUACUUAGCUUGAAUAAGACAUUGAGACCUAGACAUGUGAAUAAACGGGACAUCAGAAUCUAACCG